UUAGACCGUCGUGAGACAGGUCGGCUGCUAUCUAUUGGGGGUGUGAGGUGUCUGACGGGAACGUCCACAUAGUACGAGAGGAACUGUGGAUGGGUGCCACUGGUGUACCGGUUGUUCGAAAGAGCAAGUGCCGGGCAGCUACGCACCAAGGGGUAAGAGCUGAACGCAUCUAAGCUCGAAACUCACCUGGAAAAGAGACACCAUUUGAGUCCACCUGUAAAAGACAGGAUUGAUAGAUUUGGGGUGUACGCACCAAGGCAACGAGGUGUUUAGCCCGCGAAUACUAAUCGGACGA
rnacentral:rRNA from 1 species